UCCCUUGGGAUCAACAUUAAAGAAAAAUAAAAGGGAAUGCGUACACGCUUUUCCUUUCAUUAUUGACCUCGUUAACGAUACUUGGAGAUAUUACAUUCGGAUAAUCGCAUGCGCUUCAACGCGAACCACCAUAUAUGGUCCUUGGUCAAUCUACAAACGAAGGACGCAUAAAACCUCGACAUCCAACUGCCGUAUCAGGAAAAGGAAAAGAUAUUGAUGUGCCUAUAAUCCCCUAUCGAUUGUUCUGACAGCAUCGCAAUAGUUUCGAGAAAUAACCCUGAGGUAUCACGCUUCGCAAGGAAUCGGAGGCAACAGACGUAUGGAGCAUAAACCUAUUUUUUAUUUUUUUUUUUUUGUUUCUCUCUUUCGUUAUAUGAUUAGAAUACAGGAAAAUCCGUGAAAAAGGGA
rnacentral:sRNA from 1 species